rnacentral:rRNA from 1 species
GACGAACGCUGGCGGCGUGCCUAACACAUGCAAGUCGAACGAGGUCCAUGAGAGCUUGCUCUCAGAAGACCUAGUGGCGAACGGGUGAGUAACACGUGAGAAACCUGCCUCGGAGUGGGGAAUAACUCGGGGAAACUCGAGCUAAUACCGCAUAUCUUCACAUGAUCGCAUGGUCGAGUGAAGAAAGAAUUUCGCUCUGAGAGGGUCUCGCGGCCUAUCAGCUUGUUGGUGGGGUAACGGCCCACCAAGGCAACGACGGGUAGCUGGUUUGAGAGAACGAUCAGCCACACUGGGACUGAGACACGGCCCAGACUCCUACGGGAGGCAGCAGUGGGGAAUCUUGCGCAAUGGGCGAAAGCCUGACGCAGCAACGCCGCGUGCGGGAUGACGGCCUUCGUGGUUGUAAACCGCUUUCAGCAGGGACGAAAAUGACGGUACCUGCAGAAGAAGCCCCGGCUAACUACGUGCCAGCAGCCGCGGUAAU